CAGCAGCCGCGGUAAUACGUAGGUGGCAGGCGUUGUCCGGAACUAUUGGGCGUAAAGGGCUCGCAGGCGGUUUCUUAAGUCUGAUGUGAAAGCCCCCGGCUCAACCGGGGAGGGUCAUUGGAAACUGGGAAACUUGAGUGCAGAAGAGGAGAGUGGAAUUCCACGUGUAGCGGUGAAAUGCGUAGAGAUGUGGAGGAACACCAGUGGCGAAGGCGACUCUCUGGUCUGUAACUGACGCUGAGGAGCGAAAGCGUGGGGAGCGAACGGGAUUAGAUACCCCAGUAGUCCCUGUCUCUUAUAC
rnacentral:rRNA from 1 species